GACGAACGCUGGCGGCGUGCUUAACACAUGCAAGUCGAACGCUCACGGAGGAGCUUGCUGUUCUGGAUGAGUUGCGGACGAGUGAGUAACGAGUAGGUAACCUGCCUGGUAGCGGGGGAUAACUAUUGGAAACGAUAGCUACUACCGCAUGACAUCAGUUAUUGCAUGAUAACUGUUUAAAAGGGGCAACUGUUCCACUACCAGUUGGCUCUGCGCUGGAUUAGCUAGUUGGUGAGGGAACGGCUCACCAAGGCGACGAUACAUAGCCGACGUGAGGGGGGGAGCGGCCACACUGGGACUGGGACACGGCCCAGACUCCGACGGGAGGCAGCAGUAGGGAAGGUGCGGCAAUGGACGGAAGUCUGACCGAGCAGCGGCGCGGGAGUGAAGGAGGUGUUCGGAUCGGGAAGCUAUGCUGUUAGAGAAGAACGAGUGUGAGAGGGGAAGUGGCGCGCUGGGACGGUAUCGGACCAGAAAGGGACGGCUAACUACUG
rnacentral:rRNA from 1 species